AGAGGAUUAGUUUAAACAAAACAGUUGAUUUCGACUCAACAAACCAUAGAUCAACCUAUGAUCCCCUU
rnacentral:tRNA from 1 species